rnacentral:rRNA from 1 species
UACGUAGGGUGCGAGCGUUAAUCGGAAUUACUGGGCGUAAAGCGUGCGCAGGCGGUGAGCUGUGUCCGAUGUGAAAGCCCCGGGCUUAACCUGGGAAUGGCAUUGGAAACUGGCUCGCUGGAGUGUGGCAGAGGGGGGUGGAAUUCCGCGUGUAGCAGUGAAAUGCGUAGAGUAUCGGGAGGAACACCGGUGGCGAAGGCGGAUCUCUGGGCCUGUCCUGACGCUCAGGCGCGAAAGCUAGGGGAGCGAACAGG